CCCUCCUGAGACCACAACAUUUCAUCUUCUCAAAUUUGUCUUAAAGGUUUAUUUCUGUUAUGAGAAAUUAUGCAAAUCGCAGUCCAAGCAUGCUUUUCGUUCACAUGGUUUAACCUUGAAUUAAAUCACCACGUUCACAGUUUAACAUCACUCAAUGUAAUGGCAGUAGGGUCUUUUCCCCACUUCUUUUUACCAUGGUCACACAAUCAAAUCUCUCAGUAGUUUCUCUAUUAUAUGUUACUUAGCUUUAUGUCAUGAUUUUAGGCUCUUCGAAUCAUCAAGCAUACAUAUGUGGAUUGUCAACCUGGUAUCCUGUCAUACUGUAUCAGGUAUUGUCAUCUUGCUCAUCACCUUUUUAUCAUAUACUCAAGGCCUCACCCAGCCUCACCUGGUUAUGUAACCCCUCUCCCCUCCCCGUUGGGUAUCUAGAAGACUGUCUCCACGCAUGGACCAACGGCCAAGUCCCCCCACAAUUGAACCUACCUAUACGUUUUCUGCACAGAGUAAAUGACUGUUCAUCACAUUAUCUGUUGUUCCCACUUACGUUACUUAGCUCUGUGUCAUAAGUUCAGGCUCCUCGUAUUGCUACGCAUACAAAUACGGACUGUCAACCUGGUAUUCUGGCAUUCAUUACCAGGUAUUACAAUCUUACUCAAUACGAUUACUUCAUCUUCUCAAGGCCUCACUCAGCCUUCCCUCGUUACGUUCCCCCAAAGUUGUAACCAGGGGCUUGUCUCUAAGUAUCGACCAACGUUCUGGUCCCUCACCGUACACGUAUCCAUACGUUAUCUUUACAUAGUGUAUGAUAAUUCUUUGCACUGCUUGUUUUGUCUACUCUCACAAACCCUGUACAUACUAUUUGCACGCUCAAAGCCCACUAGCAUCUAUCUU